rnacentral:rRNA from 1 species
UACAGAGGUCCCGAGCGUUGUUCGGAUUCACUGGGCGUAAAGGGUGCGUAGGUGGUUGGGUAAGUUUGAUGUGAAAGCUCAGGGCUUAACCCUGAAAUGGCAUUGAAUACUACUUAACUGGAGGUUUGGAGGGGGGGACUGGAAUUCUUGGUGUAGCAGUGAAAUGCGUAGAUAUCAAGAGGAACACCAGUGGCGAAGGCGAGUCCCAUGGACAACACCUGACACUGAGGCACGAAAGCUAGGGG